rnacentral:rRNA from 1 species
GAUGAACGCUGGCGGCGUGCCUAACACAUGCAAGUCGAGCGAUUCUCUUCGGAGAAGAGCGGCGGACGGGCGAGUAACGCGUGGGUAACCUGCCCUGUACACACGGAUAACAUACCGAAAGGUAUGCUAAUACGAGAUAAUAUGCUUUUAUCGCAUGGUAGAAGUAUCAAAGCUUUUGCGGUACAGGAUGGACCCGCGUCUGAUUAGCUAGUUGGUAAGGUAACGGCUUACCAAGGCGACGAUCAGUAGCCGACCUGAGAGGGUGAUCGGCCACAUUGGAACUGAGACACGGUCCAAACUCCUACGGGAGGCAGCAGUGGGGAAUAUUGCACAAUGGGCGAAAGCCUGAUGCAGCAACGCCGCGUGAGCGAUGAAGGCCUUCGGUCGUAAGCUCUGUCUCAGAAGAUAAUGACGGUACUUGUAGGAGGAAGCCCCGGCGUAACUACGUG